rnacentral:rRNA from 1 species
CAGUCGCCGCGGGAAUACAGAGGAUGCAAGCGUUAUCCGGAAUGAUUGGGCGUAAAGCGUCUGUAGGUGGCUUUUCAAGUCCGCCGUCAAAUCCCAGGGCUCAACCCUGGACAGGCGAUGGAAACUACCAAGCUGGAGUAUGGUAGGGGCAGAGGGAAUUUCCGGUGGAGAGGUGAAAUGCGUUGAGAUCAGAAAGACACCAACGGCGAAAGCACUCUGCUGGGCCGACACUGACACUGAGAGACGAAAGCUAGGGGAGCAAAUGGGAUUAGAUACCCCCGUAGUCCCUGUCUCUUAUACA